rnacentral:rRNA from 1 species
UACGAGUGCCCCAAGCGUUAUCCGGAAUCAUUGGGCGUAAAGCGCGUGUAGGCAGCUUCGCAAGUCGGGUGUGAAAGCCCUGGGCUCAACCUAGGAAGUGCACUCGAAACUGCGGAGCUUGAGUCUCGGAGAGGGUCGCGGAAUUCUCGGUGUAGAGGUGAAAUUCGUAGAUAUCGAGAGGAACACCGGUGGCGAAGGCGGCGACCUGGACGAUGACUGACGCUGAGACGCGAAAGCGUGGGGAGCAAACAGG